UUGUAGGGAAGGCCAGUAGAGUGAC
rnacentral:piRNA from 1 species